rnacentral:rRNA from 1 species
CAAGUCGGAGGUGAAGCGGGGCUUCGGCCCCGUGGAAACUGGCGCACGGGUGAGUAACGCGUGGGAAUCUACCCCGGGGUGGGGAAUAACCGCUGGAAACGGCGGCUAAUACCGCAUACGCCUUGAGAGGGAAAGCUUUAUGCGCCCUGGGAUGAGCCCGCGUCGGAUUAGCUUGUUGGUGAGGUAACGGCUCACCAAGGCUUCGAUCCGUAGCUGGUCUGAGAGGAUGAUCAGCCACACUGGGACUGAGACACGGCCCAGACUCCUACGGGAGGCAGCAGUGGGGAAUAUUGGACAAUGGGGGCAACCCUGAUCCAGCCAUGCCGCGUGUGUGAAGAAGGCCUUAGGGUUGUAAAGCGCUUUCGGCGGGGAAGAUGAUGACGGUACCCGCAGAAGAAGCCCCGGCUAACUCCGUGCCAGCAGCCGCGGCAAUACGGAGGGGGCAAGCGUUGUUCGGAAUUACUGGGCGUAAAGGGCGCGUAGGCGGAUUAUCAAGUCAGAGGUGAAAGCCCUGGGCUCAACCUGGGAACUGCCUUUGAAACUGAUAGUCUUGAGUCCGAGAGAGGAUGGCGGAAUUCCCAGUGUAGAGGUGAAAUUCGUAGAUAUUGGGAA